AUUAGUGUGUAUUUUUCACGAACAACAGCUCAUUUUGUUCUUGGGGUCGAAAUCCCCAAAGGCCUAGCUCGCAACAACAAAUAAUCGAUAGCUAUCGACCUUCACACCAUGUACCAAUAGUUCCUAACACUAGAAUCGAUAGAAAUCAACGUCUCACAUACUAAUUUUACAUGGACCAUCUCUACAGGCAUCAAAAGGUAAACAAACAACAAACAGGUAAAUAUUGGACGAGAUUAACGAAAAGUUACGUAUGGAUGGACUAGCCACCGCGCACUCAAACAUCCUAUGGCACCACCCAUUGUCAAAAACCUAGGCCACGGCAAGUCCGGAUAACGACCGGUUUAUCUCCCCUAGGGCAAAACUGCUACCCGGGCUUGGACCUCGGCCCCUUCAAGCCCGAUUUAAAAUCAGGAAAUAUGGCCUUAGAGAAGUGUAAACUUUGCGCUUGAAGCGGCUUAAUGGACACAUAAUAUUUCUCCUAAAUACCCUGCUGGAGCUCUAAGAGGACAAUAAGGGACGAAGAUUUUAACAAGAUAUCCCCUUGGCUGCUGGUCGAAAAAUUCAACAGAAAUUUGGGCCGAAAAUAACUUGGUCCCGUUUCUAAGUCGAUGUGAAAAUGGCGAAAGGUGGACCGGAGGACCAAGCCUUGCCUGAGCAACUGCGGACCGCGAAAAUAGGGAUGCCGCGUGUUGAAGAGCCCUGUGGUGAUUAGGACAAACAUAGGGAAGUUUAAUGGUCUUGGUAGCAGCUAGUGGAUGCUACGGCUCGUGGCAGGAAUCACAAAAGAAUUAAUAAGAAACUGUUAAGUGGCAUUGAUUUGUUAAAGAAUUUCCGUACACGACACUCGUAGAGUAAAGGGUACAUAGUAUUAGCUGAAAAGUAUAAGAACUGGUAGAAAAAACAUUUCUGACCCGUUGGUAAACAUAUAUAUUCUUUAUCAGGAUCAAAAGCCGAGUUGAUCUAGCGCUCCUUCUUAUUUUAUUUGUGUUAUUUUCAUUUUAACUUUUAAACAGUAACAGAUAUUUUCGGUGCAUGGUUAAAACUUUGUUUAGAUUCAAACCAAAGAAUUCGUCGAUACCAUAAAAUGCGUUCACUCAAACAAAUUUGUAUCAAAAAUCGCUUUAAAUACCCACAGAGUUCGCACGUACAUAUAUGUAGAAAAUGUAGGGUGAAUUUUCUUUAAUUCCUGUUGUUUUGAAUAUAAAAUAAGUUAGUUUAAGUUUGGUAAAAAAUUGUAUAUAUUAGUUAGUUUAAAUGAACAAUUAUUUUCCAAAAAAUCACCAUCUGUUUAUGAUUAGCAACAAAAAAUUAUUAAACUGGCUCCCUUAUCAAGGGAGUAAUCUACAGCAACUUAAAAAAAAAAGUGGUUAAAUUAUUUACCAAACUAAAUACAGGAAAAAAACUGAUUACUGCAGACUUCAGUUUCUACUCUGACAAUUAAGCACCUGUUCCUUGAUUGAAAGAUGUUUAAAAGCACAUUCAGAUAGAAAAGUUCCUUUCCUAAGCAAAAUAAUUAUUGAUAAAAGUCCUAUUUUUGCAAAGCGACACCUAGACCGCCAAAAUUUAAAUAAUUUCCAGUGGUCUGAUUAAACUUUAAUAUUCGGGGCAGAUUUCAGUUUCUACUCUGACAAUUAAGCACCUGUUCCUUGAUUGAAAGAUGUUUAAAAGCACAUUCAGAUAGAAAAGUUCCUUUCCUAAGCAAAAUAAUUAUUGAUAAAAGUCCUAUUUUUGCAAAGCGACACCUAGACCGCCAAAAUUUAAAUAAUUUCCAGUGGUCUGAUUAAACUUUAAUAUUCGGGGCAGAUGGAAAAACAUAUGUAUGGCGCCCAAAAAAUACUGCUUUCGAUCCGAAGCAUACCAUUUAGACUGUUAAGCAUGGUGGCGGGAAUAUCAGCGCCUUUCUAUUAUUUUUUCCAUAUAUUUAUACAUAAAUAUAUAUAUAUAUAUAUAAAUAUAUAUGUAUACCAGUUGGUAUUGGACCAGUUGACAUGGUCCAAAAUACAUAUCCUCCUUAAAAACCGCAAAAGUGCCAACUGAAAACUAAAAAUGAUUAAAUAUUAAAAAAUACAAAAUAAAAAUGUAUAUAUACAAAUAUAUAUAUGUGUAUUUAUAUUAUGUAUAUAUAUAAUAUUUAUAUAAACUCGAUAAAGAGCACUACAUUUUAAAAAUAUCCGUAUGAAAGAACAAACUAAACCAAAACGAAAAAUGGCAAUCCCAUUUCAUGUUAAUAAAUCAAAUAUUUUAUCAAAGACACGAAAGAAAUUUUUCAGCGUCCAUGAUGAAAAUAUACAUAUUGAAAUCACCAAAAUCGCGAAAUGAUAAACCUCUGUAAAAACUCUGCUAAUAUAAGACAAUAAAACAUAUAAUAAUAGUCUCACA